GAAUAUUUGACAAUGGGCGCAAGCCUGAUCCAGCCAUACCGCGUGGGUGAAGAAGGCCUUCGUGUUGUAAAGCCCCUUUGUUUGGAAAGAAAAGCAGGCGGCUAAUACCCGGUUGUUCUGACGGUACCCAAAGAAUAAGAUCCGGCUAACUACGUGCCACCAGCCGCGGUAAUACGAAGGGUGCAAGCGUUACUCGGAAUUACUGGGCGUAAAGGGUGCGUAGGUGGUUGUUUAAGUCUGUUGUGAAAGCCCGGGGCUCAACCUGGGAAUUGCAGUGGAUACUGGGCGACUAGAGUGUGGUAGAGGGUAGUGGAAUUCCCGGUGUAGCAGUGAAAUGCGUAGAGAUCGGGAGGAACAUCCAUGGCGAAGGCAGCUACCUGGACCAACACUGACACUGAGGCACGAAAGCGUGGGGAGCAAACA
rnacentral:rRNA from 1 species